GACGAGGGGUCCAAGCGUUGUUCGGAAUUAUUGGGCGUAAAGCGGGUGUAGGUGGCUCUAUAAGUCAGGAGUGAAAUCCCCAAGCUUAACUUGGGAAGUGCUUUUGAUACUGCAGAGCUUGAAUGUGGGAGAGGAUAAUAGAAUUCCCGGUGUAGCGGUGAAAUGCGCAGAUAUCGGGAGGAACACCAACGGCGAAGGCAGCACUCUGGGCUGGAACUGACGCUGAGGAGCGAAAGCGUGGGUAGCAAACAGG
rnacentral:rRNA from 1 species